rnacentral:rRNA from 1 species
AUAUUCUGUAGCAAGGUUAACCGAAUAGGGGAGCCGGAGGGAAACCGCGUCUUAAUUGGGCGUUAAGUUGCAGGGUAUAGACCCGAAACCCGGUGAUCUAGCCAUGGGCAGGUUGAAGGUUGGGUCACACUAACUGGAGGACCGAACCGACUACUGUUGAAAAAUUAGCGGAUGACCUGUGGCUGGGGGUGAAAGGCCAAUCAAACCGGGAGCUAGCUGGUUCUCCCCGAACGCUAUUUAGGUAGCGCCUCGUGAAUUCAUCUCCGGGGGUAGAGCACUGUUUCGGCUAGGGGGCCAUCCCGGCUUACCAACCCGAUGCAAACUGCGAAUACCGGAGAAUGUUAUCACGGGAGACACACGGCGGGUGCUAACGUCCGUCGUGAAGAGGGAAACAACCCAGACCGCGAGCUGAGGUCCCAAAGUCAUGGUUAAGUGGGAAACGAUGUGGGAAGGCCCAGACAGCCAGGAUGUUUGCUUAGAAGCAGCCAUCAUUUAAAGAAAGCGUAAUAGCUCACUGGUCGAGUCGGCCUGCGCGGAAGAUGUAACGGGGCUAAACCAUGCACCGAAGCUGCGGCAGCGAACGUAUCACCCAAGACAACUUUACGGAGUUGACGAUUGACGGAGCGAAGCGACGUCAAAGCGUUCAUUAAAGUCGAGUUGGCUUAGGGAUACGUUCGUUGGGUAGGGGAGCGUUCUGUAAGCCUGUGAAGGUGUGUCGUGAGGCAUGCUGGAGGUAUCAGAAGUGCGAAUGCUGACAUAAGUAACGAUAAAGCGGGUGAAAGGCCCGCUCGCCGGAAGACCAAGGG